rnacentral:ribozyme from 1 species
UGCAAACUUUUUUUUUUUUUUAUUUAAAAUUUCCCCCCUUUCAAUAAUUGAUUUUCCCCGUUUUCCCCCAAAAAAAAAAAAAAAAAAAAAAAAAACCUGAAUGUUGCUGCUGUGUCACUCGGCAAAGGAGUGUGUUUUUUGAUCGAAA